GAAGAUUUCCGGGCAAUCGCUUCCCGACGUGUCGGGAAGAGGAAAGUCCGAACACCAACGAGAACCGUGCUUCCUAACAGGAAGGUCUCUUUUUUAAAGAGGACAGAAAGUGCCACAGAAAACAGACAGCCUUUCCGGUUUAGCCGGACGGGUGAUGGUGAAAAGGUGAGGUAAGAGCUCACCGCCCCCACGGUGACGUCGGGGGGCAGGGUAAACCUCACGGGGUGCAAGUUCACGCAGGCUGUGCGCCUCUCGUCGCUAUACAGCCGGGUAGAACGCUUGAGCUUCGGAGCGAUCCGGAGCCUAGACAAAUGAUUGUCAUCCCGAUUUAUCGGGACACAGAAUUCGGCUUACAGGAAAUCUUUACGA
rnacentral:RNase_P_RNA from 1 species